AUAUUAUAUAUUUUUUUCAAAAAUAAUUCAAAAAUUAAAAUAGUGUUACGUUGCCUCAAAUUUAAUGAAGAUUCUAUGUUAAAACUUUUUUUAGUUUUACAAAAAAGUGAAUGGUUGAAAAGAUAAUAGAAAAAUAAAUUCCGCGCCAUCUUGCGGCUUAGAAACACACUGGAACAUGUUCACCUUUAGCCUUAAGUAAGGACCAAUAAUUUUUUUAUUAUUAUUUUUUUAGCAGUCAAUAUGAUCACUAGCAUCUCCUCUCAAGAGCGUAUCCGCGACAUUUGACAGAUUGUAUAACAAUGUAUUGUUUCAAACUAUUGAUGGGUGAGCAAGAUAAACAAGGCUUGAUGUGUAACUAAUCAGCUUUAAACUUUACCCUGCCUUGUUUCAACAAAUUUACCACCAAAUUGACACACUGAAUCGAUAAAUCUGCAGCUUUGAUCUUUUAUGUUUUGUUUACGAAGCAGACUAUCAGUCGACAGUUAGCUACCUGUUGGGCAGCAGCCUCUAAAAUGUUCUCCUGGCGCAAACUUUCCCUUGCACUAUUUUUUAUUUUGAUUAUGCAACAAGUGAGUAAUAAAAAAUUGUCUAAUUAUCGCGCGAAACUAGAUUUACCCGCAACUCCUAAAUCAUCUUAUCCUGAAAAAAUUGUCUGGAAUCAAAAUAAUGACGAAAAAAUAUUGAAAAAUAAUCUCGAGAAAAAGGAAUCCUUUGCUAACAAAUUUCCGGAAUAUUUUAUUCCUGAUGCAGCUGUCCUGCUCCUGAUGCUCACCACAUUAAAUGUGGUGAUUGCUUUGUUAAGUAUUUGCUGCAUACUAACUGUAUUGUACAUUUUUGUUUGUAAUGAGUUUCAACUUGAUUUCAUUUUUCUUCAUGUUUUUAUAACGGUUGUUGUAAGUGCUUUGAUAUUCGUCUGCUUUGCUUUUCCCGUUUAAAAAUCAAGGAAAAGCUUAUUCAAGGCAAGCGCUUAGAUUACUCAAUUUUCGAAAUAAUAGUUUUUAAUUUCAGUUUCUACAACCUUUGAUGUCAAAAAUUGUGAUUUUCACUAAAGGUGAUAAUGUUGCCUGUGUAUACAAGUUACCCUUCCAUGUGCCUCCAGUGUGGAUCACCACUGUAUGUACCUAAAAAUAAAAUACAAAAAAACAAAAUACUCACGUAAAGCAUUGCAUGUUAUAAUAGAAUUUGUUGCAUAUUUUUUUGUGUCUCCAUUUUGAGGAUAUGUUUUAGAAAGACGCUCUUAAAAAUAUUUCAAAUUUUAUUUUAAAUGACCGGCCUCAGCGUUUUGUUCUUUUAAAAUAGUCAGAUUCUUUAAUUUUGAUACCACCUUUUGCAAAAGUUAAUCCAAAAUCUUUUAGCAGUAAUUAGUAUUAUAUUUAUUUUUACUGCUAAAUAAAGACUAAACGCUGAACCCGGUAACCGAAAAGUGCGUUUUUCAAACAAAGAGUAAAAAUGACAAUAAAAAUUUAACUACGUGUAUGAAAGCAAUAACCUAAAUUAUGUACUUAUAAUAUUUGUGUAUCAAAUGAUUACUUGUAAUAAUACAUGAUUAUUUUUUGAAUACGGAAACUAAGCAAAUGAGAAAUCGAGUGAGAAUCAUUGUCAUUUAUCAAUUAGUCCUUUCAAAAAGUAAAUUGUUUAAACACAAAAUGAAUGGUUUUAUGUUUAUUAAGUUUUAUUCGCAAAUUAUUAUUCACAAAUACAGGGUGAUAUCGGAAUAAAUUAAAUGGCACUGCAAAUGGGAAGUUCAAGUGUACGUUCUAAAAUUAUUUUGCCGUAUACAGAGUGUUUCAUUUUUACAGUGCAGCCUUUAACAUAGUUUUUUUUUAAGUGGCACCCCCUGUAUACUUGUACAUAUUUAAAUUUGCACUUUUUUAGGCUGUAUAAAUCUGUUUAGUUUUUGCAGUUUACUUUAACCGUUUAGAAAUUAUUUAAUUUUUUCUACAACUUAGUUCGUCAGCAGGCACAUUAAAAAAUCGCAGUGCCCUUGGUUUUUGGGAUAUCAAGUUGGGACUUUGUCCGUGGGUAAAAAAAUGUCUGAGGUAUCUUUUGGUGACAAGACCAUACAUAUGCAUUGUAGCAUCACCUUCCUGUGACACAUUCAUUUUGGUAAAUUUUGACGACCAUAACUUGAUUUUUUUAAAUAGCAGCUCCUGUAUUUUAUUACUAAUUAUUAUUCACCGUCUCAUUUUACAUCUUUUUUACCUCUUCAGAUUUUGUUCCAAAAGUUUAUAGUUAAUGAGAUAAUUCGGUUUUUGUGAAAAAUGCACACAAAAUCUCUUGGAUACUAAUGUAGCGUGCUAUGAAAAACAAUACAUUUUGACAUACUAAUGUCAAAAUGGCAUUUACAGUACGUCACGUUUUGGUUUUAUUGUGAAAAUGAAUUUUUCGCGUAAAAUGCAAACCUAGAAAUUUCAUCUAGACAUAAACUUUAAUAAAAUUUUGACAAGAAAUUAUUAAAUAAAAAUGACAGAAAUUUACAAUAAAGAAAUAAAAAAAUAUAAAAACGAGAUAUAACAAAUCAACAGCAAUAAGAUAUUACUUGCAGUUACAAAACUGUUUAAAAUAACGGCUUUCUUAAGCAAUACAGUAAUACAUUGGUCAAUUCUUUUUAAAAAUUCACCGCUUCUAAUGUGGCAUCAUCAAUUCUACAAAAAUUUUUUUAAUUCUUUCUUGCAUAUUUUCUUAUCAAAAUCAAAGUUUAUAUCUCGAUGAGAUUUAUAUGUAUUUUAUAUGAAAAAUUCAUUUUCACAACAAAAUCAAAACGUCACGUACAAAAAACGCCAGUAUGAUGUUGUUAUGUCAGAAUAUAUUGUUAUACCUGGCACACUACGUUGGUAUCCAAAGGAUUUUAUGUGCAUUUUUCAAAAAAAUCGAGGUAUCUCUGAAACUGUCAACUUUUGGAAAAAAAUUAAGAGAUAAAAAAGAUAAAAUACAAAGAGUGCUAUUUGAAAAAAUCAAGUUAUGGUCCUUCAAAGUUUACCAAAAUGAAUGUGUCACAGCAAGGUGAUGCUACAAUGCAAAUAGACAGUCUUAUCGCCGAAAGAUACCCCCGACAGUUGUUUACACACAGACAAAAUCCCAUCUCAAUAUCUUGAAAACCAAGCGCACUGCGAUUUUUUAAUUAUGUGCCUGCAGAGGCACGAAAUUGUAGAAAAGGUUAAAUAACUUCUGAAUGGCUAAAGCAAAUUGCAAAAACUAAACUUAUUUAUAAAGCUUAAAAAGUGCACAUUUAAAUAUAUACAAAUAUACAAAGGGUGCCCUUAAAAAAACUAUGUUAAAGGCUGCAUUAUAAAAAUGAAACACCGUGUAUAGGGCAAAAUAAUUUUAGAACGUGCACUUUGACUUCCCAUUUACAAUGCCAUUUGAUUCAUUUUGAUAUCUUUGACAGUGCAAGUGCAAUCGGGCACGCCCAUAUCAAUUACAUACCCUGUAUAACGACAUUUGGCCAUUCAUAAACAGUUGAUAAAAGUCCGGAAACUGUAUAAUCAUUAAUCACCAAAUGUUACGACCGCUUUGAUCAUUUAAAACUAUUAUUAAAGCGCUCAUUUACUAUCAAUAAUUUACUAAUAAAAACUUACAUACUUACAUAUUCAAUAAGCGGAAACAAAUUUAUACAGCACGGUAUAAUCUGUUUCAAUAAAAUAAAAACUUACCUAACUGAUUGAAAAUUAUACGUUUCCAAAACUCGUACAAUCUUUUGACAAAUCAUUAAACACUCACUAUAAAGAGUUAAAUACUAAAAAUAGUAGAUUCGUGUCCAAGGAGUGCUCCAUUAUUAAAAAUAUGGUUAAAUAAAAAUCUCUAUUUUUACUAGAUGUGAAUGAUAUUUUUCUUGUUUGUUAAAUAAACUCGUAUGUCUAUU